rnacentral:rRNA from 1 species
AUUGAACGCUGGCGGCAGGCCUAACACAUGCAAGUCGAACGGUAACAGGAAGAAGCUUGCUUCUUUGCUGACGAGUGGCGGACGGGUGAGUCAUGUCUGGGAAACUGCCUGAUGGAGGGGGAUAACUACUGGAGACGGUAGCUAAUACCGCAUAACGUCGCAAGACCAAAAAGGGGGACCUUCGGGCCUCUUGCCAUCGGAUGUGCCCAGGUGGGAUUAGCUAGUAGGUGGGGUAACGGCUCACCUAGGCGACGAACCCUAGCUGGUCUGAGAGGAUGACCAGCCACACUGGAACUGAGACGCGGUCCAGACUCCUACGGGAGGCGGCAGUGGGGAAUAUUGCGCAGUGGGCGGAGGCCUGGUGCAGCCAUGCCGCGUGUAUGGAGAAGGCCUUCGGGUUGUAAAGUACUUUCAGCGGGGAGAAAGGGAGUAAGGUUAAUACCUUGACUCAUUGACGUUACCCGCAGAAGAAGCACCGGCUAACUCCGUG